rnacentral:lncRNA from 1 species
AGCCAUGCCAGCUGGGAGCCUAGGAGUGCCAGACAGAGAGGCCACCCACCCGCAGUUAGAGAGACUUCCUCCUUCGCCGGCUCCUCAGAGCCACCACACCACAGGAAAGCUUUCUGUGUGGGUGAGUUUCCAGCAGUGCCAGCCAAAUCCUGUGUUCUUGUCUCCAGAAAUUCUGAUGGAUGAUUCAGCUCUUCCUCAGUCCCCUGGUCCAGGAGAUGCAGGCAGUACAGCAGAAGUGGACCAGUGAGGAAGAAAACUCGAUGACCCUCUACUGACAAGGGUUUGGAGGAAGAGAUGGGCCCCAAGAGGGGAGCAAUAAGCAAUCACAAUAAUCUCAAUGAAAUUCAU